rnacentral:rRNA from 1 species
GGCGUGCAUAACACAUUCAAGUCGAACGAAGCGCUGUCGAGGAAGUCUUCGGAUGGAAUUGACAAUGACUUAGUGGCGGACGGGUGAGUAACGCGUGAGCAACCUUCCUGCCUGUGAGGGAUAACACAGGGAAACUUGUGCUAAUACCGCAUGACGCACGGAUAUCGCAUGGUGACCGUGCCAAAGAUUAAUUGCAGGCAGAUGGGCUCGCGUCUGAUUAGAUAGUUGGCAGGGUAACGGCCUACCAAGUCGACGAUCAGUAGCCGGACUGAGAGGUUGAACGGCCACAUUGGAACUGAGAUACGGUCCAGACUCCUACGGGAGGCAGCAGUGGGGAAUAUUGGGCAAUGGGCGAAAGCCUGACCCAGCGACGCCGCGUGAGGGAAGAAGGUCUUCGGAUUGUAAACCUCUUUCAGCAAGGAAGAAGAAAGUGACGGUACUUGCAGAAGAAGCCACGGCUAACUACGUGCCACCAGCCGCGGUAAUACCUAGGUGGCGAGCGUUAUCCGGAAUUACU